UGGGGAGUAGCUCAGUUGGUGGAGUGCCUGCCUCACAUGCACAAAGCCCUGGGUUUGAUCCCUAGCACCACAU
rnacentral:tRNA from 1 species